rnacentral:lncRNA from 1 species
GCUGGCCCGGGCGAAAGAUACAUCGGUGAUAGGGAUCGGAUAUCUCGUCGACAAAAGAGGUCAGCUUCAACUCAGAUGGAGUUUCCUAACAGAUUCCACAGUCAAUUUCAUUUCCACUCUGGCGGUUUGUACGUCGCCUGCUGCGUCUACCUCGAGGCUUACCAUGCUCGGUCCAGCGCAGCAGCAGAACGUGUCUGCGCUCAAACUGUACAGUGGUCGUGCAAUUUCUAAAGUAGAAUAUCUUCAAAUAAAAGUAUGAGAUGGUUGUUUGAAAUCCACCGCUUUCUUUGUUCUUAAGCAGCCCAGUGGGGUGGUCGCGUACAACAGUCAUAAAGAAAUUGGUUGUCAGUCUGUCGUAAGAGAGUCAUAUUCAGUAUGCUAAACCUUGCGCAUCUUUACAUCCCUUUUAAUAAUAUGCAGGGCCGAGUCUUCCUUGUGCAACUUGGUUGUUAGUCGGCUAGUGUGGAAGCGCUCGUGAGUUCCAGCGCUGGAGAUACGUACCAGAUAUAUUAGAAGACGGAGCUGCAAUACGCUCGACGUUUUCCAAUGGAUACACUUCAAUGCUAACUCACUACAGAUCAUGGGAGUGCAGAAAAUUCCAUGUGGAAUGCGGUUCACGGAGGACAAGGGGCCUUCACUGAUUUUAUUUAUUCUGAUGGGAUGUGUUGUUCAUUUUUAGCAGGCAGGGACCGUUGUUUGAAAAGAACUUGGUUAUGUGUACUGCUUGAAUGAGCACACUCCCUAUCAGGCCCGUCCAGGACGUCUGAUUAGGUCAAACAGAAAGAUGCUUCUUGAAUGCGAAGCACGCUAGUGGAGCCUAACUUCGUCUCACUGAUGGACCGUAAUUCCCUCUGUCUUAGGUCCGAUGACAUUCAGGCCCGUGGACACUCCAUGUGUCGAUUGCCGUUCUUCCACUGUGGGCCAAUUUUAUAGUAAGACAAAAACGUGAUUCGAGUUCCGAGGAGGGACGAUUAUUUCCACACUACUUACGGCCACAACGAAGCGAUAAAUGAUCUGGCACUGUCGUGGACGUCAAUCAUACAUGAAUAAUUCAUUCAGUGGUCCUCAUCGAAUGCGAUUUGUGUGUCGUAACUCAUUUUCUCUGAGUGCAACGUAGACAAAUGGAAACUAUAUCAUCUGAACUUUCUCUUCUCUACGCCUGAAGCAAUAACUACACGUAUACGUUUUCACAUAGACCCUUUUCCAUUAUAAACCAUGGUGGCUAUGACUGGCUUCCACACACCAGGUACAUUCGUCGACGUUUCCUGUGGCGAUUCCCGAAAAUUUAACCGGUUACCUUCAUUGGCUCCACUGCAAAGGGUGUCGUUUCUCAUUGACCGCGUAUGUAAUCCAGUCACUCUGUUAAGGAGAGCAAGAAUCUGGAAAUGGUCAGGAAAUGUUGACGACGCCAGAGACUCAUAUCGUCGCUGUGCCCUGCUGCCUGUCCACCAUUUUAAGUACCAUCUUCCUCCGAAGCCUUGCUGGCAAGCUGGUUUUCUGAGCCGGAUUGGAUCGUAGUGUUCCAUAACAUGCUGGUCGCUCGUGAGAACGGCGAACGGGUGGAGGCGAACAACUGUACAACGACUUCUUCGUGUCCAUGAGGAUUCCGGAUAAAUGGCGCUUACCGGUGUACAAAACACGACGUCGGCCGAUGCUCUACUUCGGGGUUGACGACUUUUUCUAACUGGCGUUACUGAGUACUCCUUUCCGUAGAGAGGGACUAUUUCACUUAGUCUAAUGGCAUGUAGCAGCGCUAUACGGUCUCGUUUUCGUUAGCAUUCAGCAUCAUCUGUGCAGCUUCAAAAUGGCACCCAAUCUGUUGCCUCUGCCUCAUCUGGCAACACGCCGGACGAGUUGGUACCCGCUACUUUGACAAGUUUUGCAGUGAUGCCAACAUUGGAGCUCGCUCCAGUAGUCAACACUGGACAUAAAAACCGUGCCAGAGGAAUACAAGAGACAGAUAUCUUGUGUUGGCCAAUAGUGCAAACGGUUUCCCAACAUGAACCAGCGUCUGCUUGGUCCGUUGGAGCGACGUGAGCUUAAUGACAGGCAAACGUCGUGAAUCUGAAAAAAAGCAUUCCUGAUGUCGGCUAUGCGGAGCGAGUCAGUCUCAUGUAUCCAGCAUCGACACUCAAGAGCACCAUGCGAUGUAACAGUGGCU